UGGGGAAUAUUGCACAAUGGGCGCAAGCCUGAUGCAGCCAUGCCGCGUGUAUGAAGAAGGCCUUCGGGUUGUAAAGUACUUUCAGCGGGGAGGAAGGCGAUAAGGUUAAUAACCUUGUCGAUUGACGUUACCCGCAGAAGAAGCACCGGCUAACUCCGUGCCAGCAGCCGCGGUAAUACGGAGGGGGCAAGGGUUAAUCGGAAUUACUGGGCGUAAAGCGCACGCAGGCGGUCUGUCAAGUCGGAUGUGAAAUCCCCGGGCUCAACCUGGGAACUGCAUUCGAAACUGGCAGGCUAGAGUCUUGUAGAGGGGGGUAGAAUUCCAGGUGUAGCGGUGAAAUGCGUAGAGAUCUGGAGGAAUACCGGUGGCGAAGGCGGCCCCCUGGACAAAGACUGACGCUCAGGUGCGAAAGCGUGGGGAGCAAACA
rnacentral:rRNA from 1 species